rnacentral:rRNA from 1 species
UACGAAGGGGUGCAAGCGUUACUCGGAAUUACUGGGCGUAAAGCGUGCGUAGGCGGUUUGUUAAGUCUGUCGUGAAAGCCCUGGGCUCAACCUGGGAAUUGCGAUGGAUACUGGCAAGCUAGAGUACGGUAGAGGAUGGUGGAAUUCUCGGUGUAGCGGUGAAAUGCGUAGAGAUCGGGAGGAACACCUGUGGCGAAAGCGGCUCACUGGACCACAACUGACGCUGAGGCGCGAAAGCUAGGGGAGCAAACAGG